CCACAUUCUGCGAGGCAGCGAAGAGACACAGCGGUCUGCUUGUUCGCCAGGCAGCGAAGAGAUGAAGCGGUUUGCUUGUUCGCCAGGCAGUGGACAGAUUAGGCAGUCUCCUUGUUUGUGAGACAGCAAACAUCCACAGUGGUCACUCAUUCUGCGAGGCAGCGAACAGAUGCAGCGGUUUGCUUGUCCACUAGAUGGCGAAGUGGCAUCGCGGAUUGCUUUUUCGCCUGGAAGCGACCCGAUGCAGCACUUUGCCAGUUGGCGAGGCAGCGAACAGACGCAGCAGUCUGCUGCUUUGUGAGACAGCGAACAUCCACAGUGGUUCCUCAUUCGGCGAGGCAACGAAGAGACGAAGCAGUUUGCUUGUUCGCCAGGCAGUGAAUAGAUUAGACGGUCUCCUUCUUUGUGAGACAGCGAACAUCCGCUGCGUCUCUUCGUUGCCUCGCAGAAUGAGGAACCACUGUGGAUGUCCGCUAUCUAUCAAAGAAGGAGACUGCCUAAUCUCUUCGCUGCCUGUCGAAGAAUCAAACCGCUUCGUCUCUUUGCCGCCUCGCAGACAAGCAAGCCCUUGUGUCUCUUUGCCACCUCGUGCACUAACUAACCGCUGCAUCUCUUUGAUGCCUGCCAAAAGAAGGAAGUGCUGCAUCUCUUCCCGCCUCGCCAACACGCAGUCCGCUGCCCCUAUUGGAGGCGUUGCAAACAAGCAGUGGGCAGAAUCUCUUCACCACUUCGCCAACAAGCGGACUGCAGAGUCGCUUCGCCGCCUGGCCAACAAGCACACCGCUGCAUGUCUUCGCUGCCUUGCCAGCUAGCAAAGUGCUGCCUCGCUUCGCUUCCAGGUGAAAAAGCAAUCCG
ensembl:lncRNA